UACGUAGGGGGCAAGCGUUGUCCGGAAUCAUUGGGCGUAAAGAGCGUGUAGGCUGCCAGAUAAGUCCGCUGUGAAAACUCGAGGCUCAACUUCGAGCUGUCGGUGGAAACUAUUUGGCUAGAGUCCGGAAGAGGAGAGUGGAAUUCCUGGCGUAGCGGUGAAAUGCGCAGAUAUCAGGAAGAACACCCGUGGCGAAGGCGGCUCUCUGGUACGGAACUGACGCUGAGACGCGAAAGCGUGGGGAGCAAACAGG
rnacentral:rRNA from 1 species